CCUACGGGAGGCAGCAGUGGGGAAUAUUGCACAAUGGGCGCAAGCCUGAUGCAGCCAUGCCGCGUGUGUGAAGAAGGCUCUAGGGUUGUAAAGCACUUUCAGUCGGGAGGAAAGGUUAUCAGUUAAUACCUGGUAGCUGUGACGUUACCGACAGAAGAAGCACCGGCUAACUCCGUGCCAGCAGCCGCGGUAAU
rnacentral:rRNA from 1 species